rnacentral:rRNA from 1 species
GCAGUCGACGGUGACGAGGGGCUUGCCCUUCUGAUCAGUGGCGAACGGGUGAGUAACACGUGAGUAACCUGCCCUUCACUCUGGGAUAACGCUGGGAAACCGGUGCUAAUACUGGAUAUGACCUACUCGGGCAUCCGAUGUGGGUGGAAAGAUUUAUUGGUGGAGGAUGGACUCGCGGCCUAUCAGCUUGUUGGUGAGGUAAUGGCUCACCAAGGCGACGACGGGUAGCCGGCCUGAGAGGGCGAUCGGCCACACUGGGACUGAGACACGGCCCAGACUCCUACGGGAGGCAGCAGUGGGGAAUAUUGCACAAUGGGCGAAAGCCUGAUGCAGCGACGCCGCGUGAGGGAUGAAGGCCUUCGGGUUGUAAACCUCUUUCAGCAGGGAAGAAGUGCCUGGGUUUUCUCAGGUGUGACGGUACCUGCAGAAGAAGCACCGGCUAACUACGUGCCAGCAGCCGCGGUAAUACGUAGGGUGCAAGCGUUGUCCGGAAUUAUUGGGCGUAAAGAGCUUGUAGGCGGUUUGUCGCGUCUGCUGUGAAAUUUCGGGGCUCAACCCCGAACUUGCAGUGGGUACGGGCAGACUAGAGUGUGGUAGGGGAGACUGGAAUUCCUGGUGUAGCGGUGAAAUGCGCAGAUAUCAGGAGGAACACCGAUGGCGAAGGCAGGUCUCUGGGCCACUACUGACGCUGAGAAGCGAAAGCAUGGGGAGCGAACAGGAUUAGAUACCCUGGUAGAAUCACUAGUGAAUUC